rnacentral:sRNA from 1 species
CAUAUCUCCCGUACGGGAAGGAUGAGAAGCUUCGACUAAGGUUCGAUUCGAGCGCAGCGAGAACGCGUUGCCGCAGGCAACGACCCGAAGGGCGAAGCGCGCAGCGCUGAGUCAUCCUUCCCACCACCA